GUAGGUGGCAAGCGUUGUCCGGAAUUAUUGGGCGUAAAGCGCGCGCAGGCGGUUCUUUAAGUCUGAUGUGAAAGCCCACGGGCUCAACCGUGGAGGGUCAUUGGAAACUGGAGAACUUGAGUACAGAAGAGGAAGCGGAAUUCCACGUGUAGCGGUGAAAUGCGUAGAGAUGUGGAGGAACACCAGUGGCGAAGGCGGCUUUCUGGUCUGUAACUGACGCUGAGGCGCGAAAGCGUGGGGAGCAAACAGGAUUAGAUACCCUGGUAGUCCACGCCGUAAACGAUGAGUGCUAAGUGUUAGGGGGUUUCCGCCCCUUAGUGCUGCAGCUAACGCAUUAAGCACUCCGCCUGGGGAGUACGGCCGCAAGGCUG
rnacentral:rRNA from 1 species